UGGGGAAUUUUGGACAAUGGGCGCAAGCCUGAUCCAGCAAUGCCGCGUGCAGGAUGAAGGCCUUCGGGUUGUAAACUGCUUUUGUACGGAGCGAAAAGGUCUGCCCUAAUACGGUGGGCUCAUGACGGUACCGUAAGAAUAAGCACCGGCUAACUACGUGCCAGCAGCCGCGGUAAUACGUAGGGUGCGAGCGUUAAUCGGAAUUACUGGGCGUAAAGCGUGCGCAGGCGGUUAUAUAAGACAGGUGUGAAAUCCCCGGGCUCAACCUGGGACCUGCAUUUGUGACUGUAUAGCUAGAGUACGGUAGAGGGGGAUGGAAUUCCGCGUGUAGCAGUGAAAUGAGUAGAUAUGCGGAGGAACACCGAUGGCGAAGGCAAUCCCCUGGACCUGUACUGACGCUCAUGCACGAAAGCGUGGGGAGCAAACA
rnacentral:rRNA from 1 species